UGCUAUGUCUGUAGCCGACGACA
rnacentral:siRNA from 1 species